rnacentral:lncRNA from 1 species
GAGCAGUAAGCCUGGGGGAGCAGAGAGAGACAGAUUGAGUAGGCGCUUCUCUGCUUAUCCCUGACUAGAAGGCAAUGAGUUUCCUUCCAAGCAACCUGCUCAUAGCCGUGGAUACUGAUAUGAGUGGACACGCCUCUCUCCUCUCUGCUCAGGAUACGGAAAAAGCUUGAGGGAGGGAGAGGAGGAGGAGGAGGAGGAAGGGCAGCAAAGGAGGGGCAUGGAGAGUGAGGCGCAGGACAUUUGCAAACAGAUUGAGUCAGUCAGCUGAGAAAGAGAGAGAGAGAGGGGGGGAUAGAGAGUGAUAGGGAGUGAAUAACUAACUGUUGAUGUGCUUAAAGCUGUUCUGGGUUGAGGAGCUGAGUGUAUUGUGAAUCAUGGCCUUCAGGAAGAGGAGCUUCACUUUUGGCGCCUAUGGAGGAGUGGACAAAAGUUUCUCCAAGGCUAGGAGUCACUGGAAACAUGAUGGCAGAGUCCCUCGAAUCUCUGAUGUGUUAGAGCAUCCCCUGAGCCCCCUACAACCCCUGCCCGUUCCUUCUGGGCUUCCUAAGACCUCAGAUUUAUUUGCGAUGAUCGAGCGGAUGCAGAACAGCAGAAUGGAUGAGCAGAGAUGCACACUUCCACCCCCCCUCAAAACAGAGGAAGACUACAUUCCAUAUCCAGGUGUUCAUGAGGUGCUGUCUCGGAAAGCCCCCUUUCCCUUAAUUUUGCUGCCUCAGUUUGGAGGUUAUUGGAUUGAAGGCACCAAUCAUGACCUCAGUUCGACCCCUGCUCCUGAGGAGCCACCUCCAUGCCCAGCAUCACAGAUUAAACUGGAGACAAACAGCACAGCAAAGAUCUACAGAAAAGACUUCAUGGGCAAGGAGCACUUUAAUUAUUACUCUAUGGACACCGCACUGGGCCACCUCGUCUUCUCCGUGAAGUAUGACGUGAUCGGGGACCAAGAGCACCUGCGUUUAAUGCUCAGGUCAAAGUACAAAACCUACCAUGAUGUGAUACCUAUUUCCUGUCUCACUGAGUUUCCUAACGUGGUGCAGAUGGCAAAGCUGGUGUGUGAAGAAGUGAAUGUGGACAGAUUUUACCCUGUACUCUACCCAAAGGCCUCCAGACUCAUUGUAACAUUUGAUGAACAUGUCAUAAGCAACAAGUUCAAGUUUGGGGUCAUCUAUCAGAAGUUUGGACAGACAUCAGAAGAGGAGCUUUUUGGAAACAGUGUGGAGAGUCCCGCCUUCGUUGAGUUCCUGGAGUUUUUAGGGCAGAAGAUUGAGCUGCAUGAUUUUAAAGGGUUUCGAGGAGGCCUCGAUGUCACACACGGUCAAACUGGAAGUGAGUCGGUGUACCACAACUUCCACAACAAAGAAAUCAUGUUCCACGUUUCCACUAAACUUCCCUACACUGAAGGAGACUCACAGCAGGUAAGGACUGUCCUUUCAUAUUGUGCCAUCUGUCAAAUUCUGCUUGAGGCUGUCAUACCUGUGCUAAAAGGCAUGUCAUUGCAGGUGUCAGUGACAGCGAGAGAUGACGUGCCUUUCUUCGGGCCUGCUCUCCCAGACCCAGCUGUAUUCAAAAAGAGCCCAGAAUUUCAUGAGUUCCUCCUGACAAAACUCAUCAAUGCUGAGUAUUCCUGCUAUAAGGCUGAGAAGUUUGCCAAGUUGGAGGAGAGAACACGCUCUGCACUGCUGGAAACUCUGUACGAGGAGCUGCAUGUGAACAGCCAGUGCAUGAUGGGAUUGGGAGGAGAUGAUGAUAAGCUGGAGAACGGAGGUGGAGGAGGAGGAGGCUUUUUUGAGUCUUUUAAGAGAGUAAUUCGCAGUAGGAGUCAGUCUAUGGACGCUAUGGGCCUGAGCAAUAAGAAGCCUCACACUGUCUCGACCAGCCACAGUGGCAGCUUUACCCACAAUCCCCCAGACACACCCAAAACGCCGGGAAUUGUGAGUAUUUCUUCUACUUUCCACACCCACUUCCUCCCAUUCUUACUAAUUUUUUCCUGUAUCUGUUUUUUUUAUGGAGGGCUUCAGCUUCACUCUUUGAUCAUACCCGGUAAGAGCCCAACCCGGAAGAAAUCAGGCCCGUUCAGCUCCAGACGAAGCAGCGCCAUCGGUAUUGAGAACAUCCAGGAGGUCCAGGAGAGAAGUAGGGAGGUGUCCCCCAGCACACAGAAAACACCCGACAGUGGCCACGCCUCACAGGACCCCAGAUCUGAUAACUCCUCCAAUCACAGCUCACCUGAGAUGCCCACCACCAGGACUAGAGCACCCUCCAUCCCAGAGACUCAUGACCUGUCUCGUUCCUCGUCCAACGCCAGCAGCUUUACCAGUGUAGUAGAGGAAAACGAGCACGAACAAGAAGCUACAGAGGACUACGACACAGGACUGGUACCUGCCUUGUUCUUCAAUACACACAUUACAAUCCCUGUCUUCACACUGGCAGGCGACAAGUCGCUUACAUUGCCCACAUCUCCCAAUGUUUGUCUCUUGUGGGUGUGUUCACAACCACUCACAUUGCCAUGUGUGGGGGCGUGUAUUGGCGUGGCCAGUUAG